AGAGUUUGAUCCUGGCUCAGGAUGAACGCUAGCGGCAGGCUUAAUACAUGCAAGUCGAGGGGUAACAUGGGUAGCAAUACCUGAUGACGACCGGCAAACGGGUGCGGAACACGUACGCGACCUUCCCAUAACUGGUGAAUAGCCUUUCGAAAGAGAGAUUAAUACACCGUAACAUAACGAAGAGGCAUCUCUUUGUUAUUAUAGGCUUCGGCCGGUUUUGGAUGGGCGUGCGCCUGAUUAGGUAGUUGGCGGGGUAACGGCCCACCAAGCCUACGAUCAGUAACUGGUGUGAGAGCACGACCAGUCACACGGGCACUGAGACACGGGCCCGACUCCUACGGGAGGCAGCAGUAAGGAAUAUUGGUCAAUGGACGAAAGUCUGAACCAGCCAUGCCGCGUGAAGGAUUAAGGCCCUCUGGGUUGUAAACUUCUUUUAUCUGGGACGAAAAAAGGGUAUUCUUACUCACUUGACGGUACCAGAGGAAUAAGCACCGGCUAACUCCGUGCCAGCAGCCGCGGUAAUACGGAGGGUGCAAGCGUUAUCCGGAUUCACUGGGUUCAAAGGGUGCGUAGGUGGGUUUGUAAGUCAGUGGUGAAAUCUCCGGGCUUAACUCGGAAACUGCCAUUGAUACUAUAGAUCUUGAAUUAUCUGGAGGUGAGCGGAAUAUGUCAUGUAGCGGUGAAAUGCUUAGAUAUGACAUAGAACACCAAUUGCGAAAGCAGCUCACUACGGAUAUAUUGACACUGAGGCACGAAAGCGUGGGGAUCAAACAGGAUUAGAUACCCUGGUAGUCCACGCC
rnacentral:rRNA from 1 species